rnacentral:rRNA from 1 species
GCUCAAUGAUUUUUUAAAUUGCUGUAGUAUUUUGACUAUACAAAGGUAUUGAAAUAAGGUUUUAAUUGAAUGCUAAGAGAAUGGAACUUCAGGGAAAAACUUUAUUGAAGUUAAAAUUUAAAGUUUUUUUAAUUUGUGCAGAAACAAUUAUUUAUAUUAAGGACAAGAAGACCCUAUGAAUUUAUUAAAUUUUAUUAACGAAUGACAACAUUAAUAAAAUUUUGGCUGGGGCGGCAGAAAAAUAUUAAAAACUUUUUAAUUCUAAAAUGACCCACUUUUAGUGAUUAUAUGAAAAAUACUCUAGGGAUAACAGCGUUAUAUUUUUUGAUAGACCAUAUUGACAAAAAAGUUUGCGACCUCGAUGUUGGAUUAGGAUACUUUUUUAAUGAAGAAAUUAAAAAAAGAAGUUUGUUCAACUUUUAAUCUCCUACUUGAUCUGAGUUCAGACCGG